rnacentral:tRNA from 1 species
GGGGUUGUAGCUCAGUGGUAGAGUGCUCACCUUGCAUGUGGAAGGAACUGGGUUCAAUCCUCAGCACCA